GUCUCUCUCUCUCUGGCGGCCAGCACCAGCCCCCCUUCAGCUCCGCCGCGCAGUCGCGCUCCCACUGCCGUGAGACCUGCUUGCCCAUGGCACACCUCCCCCUAACAGCUGCCAUGCCAACCGCCGCGACCACAGCUGUCGACUCGGCCCUCACCGUUGACCCCGUGCUCGACUUCCCCUCGCCCAGCGCCGCCGGUGCUACCACCGCGGCUAGCGCGCGUGCUGUCGGCCUCGUCCCCUCUGGGUUUGGCCUCCCAGGCUACCCGACGUACCCCGGCGCCCUCACCGGUCUACCCUUGCCAACACGCCUCCCCAGACUCCCGCCCC
rnacentral:misc_RNA from 1 species